rnacentral:rRNA from 1 species
CCAGACUCCUACGGGAGGCAGCAGUGGGGAAUAUUGCACAAUGGGGGAAACCCUGAUGCAGCGACGCCGCGUGAGUGAAGAAGUAAUUCGUUAUGUAAAGCUCUAUCAGCAGGGAAGAAAAUGACGGUACCUGAGUAAGAAGCCCCGGCUAACUACGUGCCAGCAGCCGCGGUAAUACGUAGGGGGCAAGCGUUAUCCGGAUUUACUGGGUGUAAAGGGAGCGUAGACGGCGAUGCAAGUCUGAAGUGAAAGCCCGGGGCUCAACCCCGGGACUGCUUUGGAAACUGUAUGGCUGGAGUACUGGAGAGGCAAGCGGAAUUCCUAGUGUAGCGGUGAAAUGCGUAGAUAUUAGGAAGAACACCAGUGGCGAAGGCGGCUUGCUGGACAGUAACUGACGUUGAGGCUCGAAAGCGUGGGGAGCAAACAGGAUUAGAUACCCCUGUAU